GUCGUCUUAGCUCAAUUGGGAGAGCGCCAGACUGAAGUCAACUUCAGCCGCCUAGCAUACAAGCUAAUCUGGAGGUACUGUGUUCGAUCCACAGAGACGACA